rnacentral:rRNA from 1 species
GUUUGAUCCUGGCUCAGGACGAACGCUGGCGGCGUGCCUAACACAUGCAAGUCGAGCGGAGACAGUGAGUAGCUUGCUACGAGCUGUUUUAGCGGCGGACGGGUGAGUAACGCGUGAGCAACCUUUCCCAGACAGGGGAAUAACACACCGAAAGGUGUACUAAUACCGCAUAAGACCACGGGAUCACAUGGUUCUGGGGUAAAAGAAUUAUCGGUUUGGGGUGGGCUCGCGUCCGAUUAGGUAGUUGGUGAGGUAACGGCCCACCAAGCCGACGAUCGGUAGCCGACCUGAGAGGGUGAUCGGCCACAUUGGGACUGAGACACGGCCCAAACUCCUACGGGAGGCAGCAGUGGGGAAUAUUGGGCAAUGGAGGAAACUCUGACCCAGCAACGCCGCGUGGAGGAAGAAGGUUUUCGGAUCGUAAACUCCUGUCCUUGGAGACGAGUAGAAGACGGUAUCCAAGGAGGAAGCCCCGGCUAACUACGUGCCAGCAGCCGCGGUAAUACGUAGGGGGCAAGCGUUGUCCGGAAUAAUUGGGCGUAAAGGGCGCGUAGGCGGCUCGGUAAGUCUGGAGUGAAAGUCCUGCUUUUAAGGUGGGAAUUGCUUUGGAUACUGUCGGGCUUGAGUGCAGGAGAGGUUAGUGGAAUUCCCAGUGUAGCGGUGAAAUGCGUAGAGAUUGGGAGGAACACCAGUGGCGAAGGCGACUAACUGGACUGUAACUGACGCUGAGGCGCGAAAGUGUGGGGAGCAAACAGGAUUAGAUACCCUGGUAGUCCACACUGUAAACGAUGAAUGCUAGGUGUAGGGGGUAUCGACCCCUUCUGUGCCGCAGUCAACACAAUAAGCAUUCCGCCUGGGGAGUACGGCCGCAAGGUUGAAACUCAAAGGAAUUGACGGGGGCCCGCACAAGCAGCGGAGCAUGUGGUUUAAUUCGACGCAACGCGAAGAACCUUACCAGGUCUUGACAUCCACUUAAACUUACAGAGAUGUAAGGUGUGCUUGCACAAAGUGAGACAGGUGGUGCAUGGUUGUCGUCAGCUCGUGUCGUGAGAUGUUGGGUUAAGUCCCGCAACGAGCGCAACCCUUAUCUUCAGUUACUAACGCGUGAGGGUGAGGACUCUGAAGAGACUGCCGGGGACAACUCGGAGGAAGGUGGGGACGACGUCAAAUCAUCAUGCCC